AGUGGGGAAUAUUGCACAAUGGGGGAAACCCUGAUGCAGCAAUGCCGCGUGAGUGAUGACGGCCUUCGGGUUGUAAAGCUCUGUCUUCGGGGACGAUAAUGACGGUACCCGAGGAGGAAGCCACGGCUAACUACGUGCCAGCAGCCGCGGUAAUACGUAGGUGGCAAGCGUUGUCCGGAUUUACUGGGCGUAAAGGGAGCGUAGGCGGACUUUUAAGUGAGAUGUGAAAUACCCGAGCUCAACUUGGGUGCUGCAUUUCAAACUGGAAGUCUAGAGUGCAGGAGAGGAGAAGGGAAUUCCUAGUGUAGCGGUGAAAUGCGUAGAGAUUAGGAAGAACACCAGUGGCGAAGGCGCUUCUCUGGACUGUAACUGACGCUGAGGCUCGAAAGCGUGGGGAGCAAA
rnacentral:rRNA from 1 species